AAUUAAGUAGCUUAAAUAAUUAAGAGUAAAGUUUUGAAGAAACUUAGGUGAAUUUAGAAGUUCCUUUAUUA
rnacentral:tRNA from 1 species